UCCAGAGGGUGCGAUCGUUAAUCGGAAUUACUGGGCGUAAAGCGCGCGUAGGCGGCUUGGUAUGUCGGGUGUGAAAUCCCCGGGCUCAACCUGGGAACUGCAUCCGAAACUGCCUUGCUAGAGUAUGGGAGAGGGAAGUGGAAUUUCCGGUGUAGCAGUGAAAUGCGUAGAUAUCGGAAGGAACACCAGUGGCGAAGGCGACUUCCUGGACCAAUACUGACGCUCAAGUGCGAAAGCGUGGGGAGAAAACAGG
rnacentral:rRNA from 1 species